CCUUCUUCUAAUCCCCUUCCUCUCUCAAUUUGGUCUACAGGAGAGAGAGAAGAUAAGACGGAGAGAGAGAAGGAGGAGAGGAGGGAGAGGAAAGGAGGUGCGGUGGCAGGGAAAUCGUCGUCGGAUGCGUCCUAUAUGUGAUGGGUGUGUUCCCAUCAAGUCGAUGGUGGGGUUGAUGUGCCCGUCGAUUCGGUGAUCCGUUGGCUGAGCUCGUCUUCUCAGUGGCAGACUUGUGUUCUAUGGUAGUCGGAGCCAUUAUAUGUGGUUGUGCAGUUGCUGAUGUACAGGAGGCAUCCGUGGUGUCAGUUCUUCAUCGUCCAUGCUUAUCUUCUAUAUGCUCUAGCAGCCAGCAGGAUUUAAUUGAUGGAGUCCUGCUGCUAAAGGACGUGAACAGGAAGUCCUAUCGCUGGAUGUUUACUGUCCGAAUUGCAAGGAUCUGGGAAUACAUGAGUACAGACCCUAUCAAAUUCUAUAGCUCUAUUCAUUGGCACACGAGUUGAUCAAUUUUGAGGUAAUAAAGCGAAGUUGUUAUCUGGAAAAUACUUACCUACUUAAAGAAGGUCAAAAUAGAGAAAUCGUUGGCAUAAUUUUUAUGUAUACAAUAUACUAGCUUUCAUAUCUACUUUGGACACCACGUGGCACAUCAACAUUAUGUACCUGAAGCGAUCGCUACAGAAGAAAGGCGAUAACGGCGCCACGAGGAUUCGCUGCCGUGAGGAGGACCCCGACCCGUAUGAUGGCCACCGGAAGGUCACACACUUCUUUGGCUCGCUCAGACUGGCUCCAUUGACGACUUCUCUAUGGCGUUUGCAGAGGAAGCCAAGUGAUACAUGAUACUGGUGUAUUUGUUGGGUUCCUCUUGGCGUGUUGAACAAAAAUUGGCGGUCAUCACUACUAUUUAAAGUUGGUUUGAUCAGUACUAGGGAAAACCCAUAUAUGGAAGGAAAUUAUUGUAGUUUCUUGGUAAAAUGAGUUAAAACAUGCAAGGAUACUUAGUGUUAGAAACUGCUCGGAUCUACUUUAUAUAAGCAGCUCAUCCAGCCUUGGAGGAGUAGAAAUCGGAGCAGAGCGUUCCACGACCCCACGUAGCAGGCAUGCAAUGGAGAUGGCUCAGCCAAGGAGUAGCUCAUGCGAUUCUACCUCGUCGGUGUCCUCAAUGGCUGACUUUGACUCAGGUUACAGUCAGUUUGUGUCCCCCAUCUCCUCACGGUCGAGGCCCAGCUUCAGGCGCGGAACGUCGGAGGCCAUACUACGCUAACCUAGCAUCUAAGGGACAUCCAGGGAAGGAUGCCGGAGGUGUUGGAAAUAUGCCCUAGAGGCAAU